CUGGGAUCCCCUGCCAAGGGUCUCAUCUUAGUUAUUUCUGGAAGUCCCAGGGAACAGCUCAUGUGUCCAUGUGAACUUCAUCCCCCUGUCUCUCAUGUAGUAUUUACUCUUCUGUUUCCCAGCUCCAGCUUUCUGCUCUGAUGUCUGCACUCAAGCUUUGGAGGCUCUUGCCAAGGUUGGUGUGGCUGGUGUCUGCACUGGGGAUCCCACAUUCAUCCAGUGUCACCUUGUGAUCCAUCCUGACCCGAUGCCUCUGUCUUUUUGCAUCUUGUUUACUUACAUUUGCCCCAAAGCAGGGCCACGCUGCCUCCCAGUAACUCAAGGAGGUUUUAAUAAAGUAAUUCUUUUUUUUUUUUUUUUCUGUUUCAGCAUUCACCCUCACAGGUUCUGGAACAAGCUCCAAGGCAGAGGGCUGAUGGCCUGGCUGAGCCUCACCGCGCAGGCGCUCUUCCCCAGCGCAGACGCCCUGCUCUGUCCUGACAGUCCCGCGUUGCCCUCAAUCUGAAGGUGUGGAUAAUUAAGGUAAUGAACACUUUUCCACUAGCUGCUGAAAGCCUCAUUAAUCUACACACAUGUUGCCACAGGCAAAUUAUGGCGUCAAGGGUGGGAGGAUCAACAAAAAUAACUUCAGAAAUUCAUUAAUCAGACUUAGUCAAACACAUAGUUUGGAACUGAGUGUUCUUAUCCUGCGAUGGUCAGAGGAUUCGAUUUUUUUUUUUUUUCCAAAGACAUGAAAGGGACUUCUUAAGCAAUAUUUGGGAACAUCUAAGUUAUUGUACUGGCAUUUAUGACUCUAGUGGUUGAUGCUAAUG
rnacentral:lncRNA from 1 species